ACAGUGGAAAAAAAAUCCCUGGCAGUCAGAUCACAUCUGCCAUAUGUGCUCAGACAUAACCAUGCUGUUUCUUGGAAGCUCACAUGCAUUAAUCAGAGGAAUGCUGAUGGUCUGGGAGAGGAAGCUGAAAGAAGAGAAGGGUCCUGAGAGGUACGCCAGCAUCCGGCCGCUGGCCACCUCUCCUGUCAUCUGUGCUAUGCCAGCCAUUGCAUCCAGUGUUCAGCCAGUGGAAGACAAAGCUGGACGCUCACAACUCGGCCACACAAACUCCCUCUACUCUCAAUCAGUCUUGAUUUGAAUACUAUGUGGGAUAAACAAAAGUAGUAGGAGUGUUGACAUUUCCACUCUUUUUGACAUUCACCCAAAUAAUCUGCACAAAUGCGAAGAGAAGGAGCGCAGACAAGGAAUUCUAGAUCUCAGAAGUGUUUAUAUCUGCAAAUGCUGGAGACUAAUCUUCACAGCAUUGUUUGCACAGGCCUUGUAUGUAAAUGUACUCUCUGUGAUUCAUUGACAUACGUUCUUUGCAUGGUGCCAUUUUUCUGUGAGGUUCCUUCCUCUGCAAAUCCUAAUGUCUCUGUGAAUCUACGUGUAAAAGGAAUUAAUUCUGUAGGUGUGCAGUCCCUCUCUUCUUACCUUUUAUCUUUUCUGCACAUACUGUAAGAGUAUCCUCAUAUAGCACUGUUAAUGUGAUUACCAGCACAUUUCUGCACACCCUGCGCUGCAUAGAGAGUCACAUUACUUUUCUCAUCCUCUCACGUUCCUGUCUUUGUUAGCCUAUGUAAUGCAGACAUUUUUGUGAUAUAUUUGGAAUGCUCUACUUUUAUCACAUCUUUCUGCAAUCUUAUGUUGCUCUCAUGCUUACAUCACUUUUUGCACAGCCUGAUUCAGAUGAUAAUUUAAUCCCAUUUACUCUACAGUCUUUAUGUAGCCUAUUGCUAUUUGUAGCGCUAACAGCCCAACAGGGAUCAAUAAAAACUUGUAUCAAUCUAAA